rnacentral:rRNA from 1 species
AGAGCGAACGCUGGCGGCGUGCUUAACACAUGCAAGUCGAACGAGGUCUGUAGCAAUACAGAUACUCGUGGCGAACGGGUGCGUAACACGUGGAUAACCUUCCUUCAGGUGGGAAUAACCCAGUGAAAUUGGGCUAAUACCGCAUAACAUGACGAUGCCACAUGGUGUUGUCUUCAAAGGCGCAAGUCGCCAGAAGAGGGAUCCGCGGCCGAUUAGUUAGUUGGCGGGGGUAAUGGCCCACCAAGACGAUGAUCUGUA